UACGGAGGGUGCAAGCGUUAAUCGGAAUUACUGGGCGUAAAGCGCACGCAGGUGGCUGAGUCAGUCGAUUGUGAAAGCCCUGGGCUUAACCUGGGAAUUGCAGUCGAUACUACUCAGCUAGAGUAUGGGAGAGGGUAGUGGAAUUCCCGGUGUAGCGGUGAAAUGCGUAGAUAUCGGGAGGAACAUCAGUGGCGAAGGCGGCUGCCUGGCCCAAUAUUGACGCUGAGACGCGAAAGCGUGGGGAGCAAACAGG
rnacentral:rRNA from 1 species